rnacentral:rRNA from 1 species
GCCUACGGGGCGCAGCAGUGGGGGAUAUUGCACAAUGGGGGGAACCCUGAUGCAGCGACGCCGCGUGGGUGAAGAAGCGCCUCGGCGCGUAAAGCCCUGUCAGCAGGGAAGAAAAUGACGGUACCUGAAGAAGAAGCCCCCGCUAACUACGUGCCAGCAGCCGCGGUAAUACGUAGGGGGCAAGCGUUAUCCGGAUUUACUGGGUGUAAAGGGGGCGCAGACGGCGAUGCAAGCCAGGAGUGAAAGCCCGGGGCCCAACCCCGGGACUGCGCUUGGAACUCCGUGGCUGGAGUGCAGGAGGGGCG